CAAUAGCGUAUAUUUAAGUUGUUGCAGUUAAAAAGCUCGUAGUUGGAUUUCGGGUAGGAUUUGCCGGUCCGUCUUUGAGAUGUGUACUGGUAAGUCCUAUCUUCUUGUCGGGGACCAGCUCCUGGGCUUCACUGUCCGGGACUGGGAGCCGACGAAGUUACUUUGAGUAAAUUAGAGUGUUCAAAGCAAGCCUACGCUCUGAAUAUAUUAGCAUGGAAUAACACGAUAGGACUCUGGCUUAUCUUGUUGGUCUGUGAGACCAGAGUAAUGAUUAAGAGGGACAGUCGGGGACAUUCGUACUUCAUUGUCAGAGGUGAAAUUCUUGGAUUUAUGAAAGACGAACUUCUGCGAAAGCAUUUGUCAAGGAUGUUUUCAUUAA
rnacentral:rRNA from 1 species